rnacentral:rRNA from 1 species
CAGCAGCCGCGGUAAAACGAAGGGUGCAAGCGUUAAUCGGAAUUACUGGGCGUAAAGCGUGCGUAGGCGGUGAGUUAAGUCUGCUGUGAAAUCCCCGGGCUCAACCUGGGAAUGGCAGUGGAUACUGGCUCGCUAGAGUGUGUCAGAGGAUGGUGGAAUUCCCGGUGUAGCGGUGAAAUGCGUAGAGAUCGGGAGGAACAUCAGUGGCGAAGGCGGCCAUCUGGGACAACACUGACGCUGAGGCACGAAAGCGUGGGGAGCAAACAGGAUUAGAUACCCCGGUAGUCCCUGUCUCUUAUAC